rnacentral:lncRNA from 1 species
CCGGGGUGGAGCGUGAGAGUUGUGUGUUAUUUUAAGGGCUGUGGGCGCCGUGGGCGCACUUCUGCCUUUUCUGCUCCCUCUGUACCCCCUCAAGGUGUGAGCGUGGAGCUUUCUAGGUCCCUAGAGGGGGCAGGCCACGGCACCGUCUUGGCGGCGGAGUCCUGGCACCGGGAACCCGAGGCCCCUCCUACUUUAGACUGUAGCCUCCCUCUGUACCAGGAGCGACGUGGCCCUGCCGGGUGCUCAGCCCUAUCCAAGAAAUGCAGAGCCCAGGCUAGCCCCGCAGUGUGAACGCCCCUUUUGGAGGUCUGCAGGCCCAGAGACGAGAGCGCCUAUUUGUUGACAGCCACUUUUCAGGAAGGCCCGCACAUGCUUCUGAUGUGCUGUCGCAGGGCUCCUAGCCACUGUGGCCAGCACUGUCCCUCCACAGAGAGACAAGUCCUUCCACACCCUGGUUCUGAUUCUCUGGUUUAAUCUGUUCUGCUCAGCUGGAGCACAUAGUUCCUUUCCGUGGUCACCUCUCGUCGCCAGCACUGCCCCGUUCAUCAUUCUUUAUUCCUAGCCAGAAGACUUUAAGCAUCCUGGAGGUGCCUGAUGUCCCCACCCCAACUUGUUCACCGAGACCAUCAAAUAAAGGUUCUUUAACCUUUAAUAAUGGCUCAUACAGAGGACCCACUGUGGCUUAAAACAUCAUGGGGUUGCUUAAUCUACUAAAUGUCCUGGCUUAUCAACUCAGCACACUGGAGCAUGUGGUUUCCCCUGGUGAUGGCCAGCGUUGAGAAAGGGUGCUUAUAUCGCAUUAUCACCAGCAUGGAAGAGAUCAAACUCAAAAUCCCAAGUAGUGUUUCUGCUGAUGCCUGUCGCUUCUGCACCAUUACAAGAUCAACCCCCAAAUGAAACAUUGUAGAUUGUGCAUCAUUUGUGCGCUGUCUUUCUUUGUACCGGAGUCAGGAGUGGGUUGCAGAAGAUGGUCUCUAUGAUGCCUUUGAAGAACAUGGAAAAGUAGGUGAUUUCCAAGCAUCUGGUUUGUUGGACCAAGCCUGCCAAGCCACUCUCAGGGACAGAAUGUGUAUGAAAGAGACCACCCAGUGUUCUCAUAUAUAAUUUUGAAGAAACCAGCCUUGUGCACUGAGAGUGCCUCUCUCUUCUGCACCUACUGCUCUCCUUGGGAUAGCCUAAGGACUUUGUGGAGGAACCAAGGAAGCUCUAGAGCAGAGGUUCUCAACCUGUGAGUCUCAACCCUUUUGGGGGUCAUAUAUCAGAGAUUUACAUUACAAUUCAUAGCAGUAGUAAAAUUAUACUUAUGAAGUAGCAAUGGAAUAAUUUUAUGGUCAGGGAUCACCACAGCAUGAGGAACUGUAUUAAAGGGUCACAGCAUUAGGAAGGCUGAGAAUCAUUUUUCUGACUCACAUGGAAUUCUCUAGUGAACACCUCUUUGUCUUCAUUUUUGCCUGGACUCUGCUAGCUCCAUGGGCUGUGAUCAAUCUCUUUAGAAGCAUCCACCUUGAUGACUCAUCAUCCUUCAGAAGUCCCUGAAAGAUGCAUCUGUAUUCUCAUGGGGAGACUGGCUUUGUAGAAUCCACUAGACACUUCUGGGCUGAGUCUUCUGAAUGGUUUUGCAGUAGCCAAGUCCAGGCUUCCUGCCCUGGGCCAGGCUAUGCUGAGACUGUAAAGCCAGCAAUCAUCCUGGCUCUCAGGAAAGACGGUGUGUCCUAGAAGUCUAAACUGGCCGCCACUGGUGAUGGUUAGUGUUAGUGUCUGGAUGUGUAGAAAACCAUAGAAAUGUUUACACACAAUCCUAAGCUUGGUGGCGGAAUGAAACUGAAGCAGCUCUGUUAACGUGAGGCUGCCUUUGUGUCCUAUGCAGUUUGGUUUUCAUAGGAUCUUGUCCUUGUAGAAUAAUUUUGGAGCACUUCUGUCUUAGGGUUUCCAUUGCUGUAAAGCCACCAUGACCAAAGCAGCUCUUAUAAGGACAACAUCUAAUUGGGCCUGGCUUACAUGUUCAGAGGUUCAGUCUAUUAUCAUCAAGGUAGGAACAUGGCAGCAUCCAGGUAGGCAUGGUGCAGGAGGAGCUAGGCAUUCAACAUCUUGUUCCAAGGCAAAUAGGAGAAGACUGGCUCCCAUGUGGCUAGGAGAAGGGUCUCAAAGCCCACCCUGACAGUGACACCCUUCCUUCAACAAAGCCACACCUACUCCAACAAGGCCACACCUCCUAAUAGUACCACUCCCUGGGCCAAACAUGUACAAACCACCACAUUUUCUAACCAGCAUGUCGUGAGAGGAGGCAUCUGUCCUGUCGAUAGUGGGAUUUUUAGAUUUUUUUUUUUUUGAAGCUGGGUUUCCUCCCAGCUGGUACUGACCCACUCCAAGGCUUCUGGUUUGCCCAUGCAUUUUUUUCAUUCCUCGGUUUCAAGAAACAAUCCAGAGGUCCCUCAGUAGACAAACACAGCUUUCAGUCAGCAUGCAAUGGAAUAUUACAGAUUAGUGAAAAGGCACAAGCUGUGGCAGAUUGACCAACAGAGGUGAGUGUCAAAUAUGCCAAGCAGGAGUUCACACUCUAGGUUCAUUUCUGUUUAGUCAAGCAAAGGUGAAAGCACUGUGCGUGACAGGCUUCAGGCAUGUGACCCUGGGGCCUGGGGUCAGCACCUCCCUACAGGAGGCUCCAGGGAACAUUAAGUAGGUGGUUACAGAUAUUUUCUUUCUUGGUGCAGGCAGCAUUGACACAACAGUGUACCUGAACUCCUAGGCAUACAAAUGCUGACUGCAUUUGCUUUGUUGUUUAUGGAGAUAGAGUCUCAUGUAUCCCAUGCUGGCCUCCAACUUGCUAUGUAGCUGAGGAUACCCCUGACUCUCACUCUUCCAGGUACUGGGAUAACAUAAUCACACCACACAGCAUUUUGUGUGGUGCUUGGUGUCAGAUCCAGGGCUCUGUGCAUGUUUGGCAAGCAUUCUACUAACCGAGCCACAUCCUAGUCUAAUCAUACUGAUUUUAGAAAUUAUUUACCUUUUAUAUGUUCAAAUACCAUAGAGAAUAAUAUUUUCAUGAAAUUCCACAACAUAUUAAACAAGAUUUUAAGAUAAUUUAUUCCAUGAUCUAACUACAUGUGCACAUGUAGAAUAUGUGUAACCAUAUGAUUAUCAUGUAAUCUGGUUUCAUGUACACACACAUGUAUGUUUCCAUGUACACACGUGUAUUGUUUGAAAUAUCCCAGGGUUUGAACAAAAUGUACCCUGUAAUUACCUUGUGAGCAAUUUCUGUUUUCUUUUUUAUGCUUUUCUAUAUUACCAGAUGUUCCUUAAUGAACACUUUUAUAUUCACAAACAAAUUAAAUAAAAU